rfam:Lactobacillus algidus DSM 15638 Scaffold9, whole genome shotgun sequence.
GGUCCUAUGGUAUAGGGGUUAUUACGUCCGCCUGUCACGCGGAAGAUCACCGGUUCAAAUCCGGUUAGGACCG